CUUCGCAUCGCGGAGGUGUUAGCACGCCCUAAUUCGAGAUCGGGGAGUCGUGAGUUCGAUUCUCACUGCGAAGA
rnacentral:tRNA from 1 species